AGAGUUUGAUCAUGGCUCAGAUUGAACGCUGGCGGCAGGCCUAACACAUGCAAGUCGAGCGGUAGCACAGAGAGCUUGCUCUCGGGUGACGAGCGGCGGACGGGUGAGUAAUGUCUGGGAAACUGCCUGAUGGAGGGGGAUAACUACUGGAAACGGUAGCUAAUACCGCAUAACGUCGCAAGACCAAAGUGGGGGACCUUCGGGCCUCAUGCCAUCAGAUGUGCCCAGAUGGGAUUAGCUAGUAGGUGGGGUAACGGCUCACCUAGGCGACGAUCCCUAGCUGGUCUGAGAGGAUGACCAGCCACACUGGAACUGAGACACGGUCCAGACUCCUACGGGAGGCAGCAGUGGGGAAUAUUGCACAAUGGGCGCAAGCCUGAUGCAGCCAUGCCGCGUGUGUGAAGAAGGCCUUCGGGUUGUAAAGCACUUUCAGCGGGGAGGAAGGCGGUGAGGUUAAUAACCUCAUCGAUUGACGUUACCCGCAGAAGAAGCACCGGCUAACUCCGUGCCAGCAGCCGCGGUAAUACGGAGGGUGCAAGCGUUAAUCGGAAUUACUGGGCGUAAAGCGCACGCAGGCGGUCUGUCAAGUCGGAUGUGAAAUCCCCGGGCUCAACCUGGGAACUGCAUUCGAAACUGGCAGGCUAGAGUCUUGUAGAGGGGGGUAGAAUUCCAGGUGUAGCGGUGAAAUGCGUAGAGAUCUGGAGGAAUACCGGUGGCGAAGGCGGCCCCCUGGACAAAGACUGACGCUCAGGUGCGAAAGCGUGGGGAGCAAACAGGAUUAGAUACCCUGGUAGUCCACGCCGUAAACGAUGUCGAUUUGGAGGUUGUGCCCUUGAGGCGUGGCUUCCGGAGCUAACGCGUUAAAUCGACCGCCUGGGGAGUACGGCCGCAAGGUUAAAACUCAAAUGAAUUGACGGGGGCCCGCACAAGCGGUGGAGCAUGUGGUUUAAUUCGAUGCAACGCGAAGAACCUUACCUGGUCUUGACAUCCACAGAACUUUCCAGAGAUGGAUUGGUGCCUUCGGGAACUGUGAGACAGGUGCUGCAUGGCUGUCGUCAGCUCGUGUUGUGAAAUGUUGGGUUAAGUCCCGCAACGAGCGCAACCCUUAUCCUUUGUUGCCAGCGGUUAGGCCGGGAACUCAAAGGAGACUGCCAGUGAUAAACUGGAGGAAGGUGGGGAUGACGUCAAGUCAUCAUGGCCCUUACGACCAGGGCUACACACGUGCUACAAUGGCAUAUACAAAGAGAAGCGACCUCGCGAGAGCAAGCGGACCUCAUAAAGUAUGUCGUAGUCCGGAUUGGAGUCUGCAACUCGACUCCAUGAAGUCGGAAUCGCUAGUAAUCGUAGAUCAGAAUGCUACGGUGAAUACGUUCCCGGGCCUUGUACACACCGCCCGUCACACCAUGGGAGUGGGUUGCAAAAGAAGUAGGUAGCUUAACCUUCGGGAGGGCGCUUACCACUUUGUGAUUCAUGACUGGGGUGAAGUCGUAACAAGGUAACCGUAGGGGAACCUGCGGUUGGAUCACCU
rnacentral:rRNA from 17 species